GAUUAAAUGGCUGAAGAUAGGUAAUAAAUUGUAAAUUUAUUUAUGGGAAUUUAUUCUCUUUAAUCA
rnacentral:tRNA from 1 species